rnacentral:rRNA from 1 species
GACGAACCGUGCGAACGUUAUUCGGAAUCACUGGGCUUAAAGCGCGUGUAGGCGGGACGGCACGUCGGUCGCUGAAAGCCCCCGGCUCAACCGGGGAACGGGCGCCGAUACGACCGCCCUCGAGGAACGUAGGGGGACCUGGAACUUCCGGUGGAGCGGUGAAAUGCGCAGAUAUCAGGAGGAACACCAAUGGCGAAGGCAGCUCGCUGGGACGUGACUGACGCUGAGACGCGAAAGCGUGGGGAGCAAACAGG